AUUACGAUGUGUCACGUGUUAUUAUCGCUCUAUUCGUUAAUCCAGAUGCGUACGCGUUGAAUCACAUUUGCGCACCUGCCUUGGACGAUAACAAUUUCGCGCAAUCGUCUCGCAGGAUUACACCAGCGUUGUUGCUCUGUCAGAGCUUUGCAUCUCAUCCAUUAAUAUUAUGGAAUUUACAUAACUCAUUUGUGGACAAACUGGAACCUGCAGUUGAUGGGUAGAUUAACGGGUAUUUUCCUAUCGGCAUACCUUGUAGAAUUUUUACGUGACAAUAUGACAAAGCAAUUUUCCUGUCUGAGAUUAUUUUUCAGCGAACAUUUCUACGUUUUUCUUUUUGGAGAAGAAUAUAGAAGACUGGAGUUGUACGAAGUUUAUAAGGAAAAAAAAAUAUCUUGGAGACACGCAUAGAUUAAACUAAUUCAAGCAUAUAAGGAUUUAAGAAUUCAAGGACUCCAGCAGAGUUUGAGAACUCAAGAAUUCGAAGAUUCAAUAAUCCGAAGGUUCAACAAAUAAUUCACGUAUUUAAUGGUUCAAGGAUUCAAGUAUUCAAAGUUUUAAUAAUUCAAUUAUUCAAUGGUUCAAGAAUUGAAAGAUUCGAGAAUUCAAGGGUUCAACGAUAAAGCAUUGAAAGGUUAUUCAAGUGGAAAUAUUUGUAAAGUAUUUCCCUAUAACGACAAUCAUAUCCCCUUGAAAUUUGUACAUUUUUCAUCGCUUAAUCAUUUGAUUCACAUGUAGAAUCGAAGAUUACAUAUUUAGAUAGAGAUAAAAUUAUACUAGAUACUCAGAUAAAAAUUAACCCCUUGACAAUAUAUCAGAGCAAUUUCGAUAAACGCGUACCGAUUUGACACAGUAAUUUUGUAAAGCGAUAAGAUGAUAGUAAACGUGCUUAUAACACGCAUUAGUGAAAAUAACAUAACGUCUGAUUAGCCAAAGGUUACUACGCAGUAACAUGCGAUAAAAAAGAUGCGUCCGUUUCUACGUCAAUUUAGCAUUCGUAGAAUUUCAUCUUGUUUAUCGCAAUAAGCUUAAUUGUAAUUAAUUCUAAAACCGAUUUCACAGUGUUAUUUUAUUACGUGAUUGCGUGUGCGACGUACAGAGAAAAAAGCGUCGCAGAAAAACGUAUUACCGGUGACUUGAAUUUACGUGUAAGGAUGUGGCAUGUAUUACGUUUUAGUGAAUAAAAAGCAAAAGUUCGUAUUACGUACGUAAUUAGUACGAUACUAAAGGUGGUAUUACGAUCUUAGCAGCAAAUACACGAAGUUCCUCCAAUUACUCGGAUUAUUAUUUCCGUUUCGCUUCGCGCUACUGCUUGAUGUAUCAUUAAUAAAUAUUUUUAAUUCUCUAACGCAAUUCCACAAUGAUUGUUAACAACGUGUAUAUUAAGUGAUAUAUUCUCGCGUAAUGUAAUAAACAAUUGAUCGAUGAUUCAGUUGGUAUCGAUUACGUGAAGGAGAAAAACGAUACGCAAGGUACCAAACAAGACGCGGUUUACCCUGUUUUUAACGCGAUACGCAUCAAUUGAGCCGAGGCCGUGGCAAUUAACGCGCUUCUCGUCGCCUAUCAAGGAGCCAACCUCGAGAAAAACGCACUUGAACCAAUUUGCGACGUGGGAAAACGCGACAGGGUGCAUUUCCCAUCGAUUCCAUCGACAAAUUCUAAAGUGUCGUCAAGGGAUAAUAAUUUAAUUAACAGCAUUGACGAGCGAAAGCAAUCUGUCUACGAGGAUCAGCUCUUCCUCUCUUUCCUUCGAAAUAAAUAGCAGACAAACCAGAACAAAGAGUAAAAUGAGCGAAAGAGUAAAUUUAUUCCUUGCUUCUUACUUUAUUUACAUCUAUCUGUUUACUUGUAACAGAAGUAGUACGAAAGUAACACGACUCACGUAGAAUUAUUCUUUUAGUCUAUUCUUGAAACUGCCAAUUAUUUCUUCUGUAUGUUUUUCGAAACGGCAAAUACAAUAAAUUGAAAUACAGACGUUACCAGGAAGGUUUCUUAUGUCCAUCUGAUAUCCCGAGACGAGUCAAUAAAGGAAGCGAGCGUGGAAUGAUGACACUGAAAGGUUGAGGAAGAAAUUUCUAAACGUAAAAUGAGACGAACUAGCAAUGCGAAUAUCGAAUAUAGUCGACAGGGAAGAGAGAACGAUUUUACUUGUUCGUUUACAUCAGUUUACAGAAUUGAUUUUCUCUGUUAUAGAAUAAAAAAUAUGAUCAAGGACAACGAAGCGCUUCGAACGUAUUGUGCGUGUGGGACAAACACGUCCUUUGGCGUCGCGCAUACUUCUGUUUUGUUAGGAAAACUUCCUUGACCUAUGACAUCAACUUUUAUCUUCUGGCACGCGGAAAAAAUCAUCGACGUUUAAUUGCGAGAAGGAUGAAAAAAGAAAAAAGGAAGAGAAGAAAAAAUAUCGAAGCUUUCGUUAGCAAUGAGAAGAAAAGGAUUACGGUCCAAUUAAAACACGAUCUUUCCUCGUAAACAAGCAACUUCAUGCUUCACCGUUCGUAGAUAAAACAGUCGCGUAUUGAAUUAUCGAUAUAGCGUACUCAAUCAUUUUUCUCGAUAAUAGUUCGCCUGUUAUUGACACUGGUCACAUGUUUUGCUAACUUGUUGUUUGAACUGUUGACUCAUCGAUAUUUUUUUUCUCUGUUAUCAUGAAUUUAUCGAUUUCGAUAGCCUUGGAAUUAAUUAGACUUCACUUUUUAGUUGGCGUAGUGUCGUCGUUAACGAUAGAUAAUUGACAAAACGGCACGCGAAUGGGUCGAGGCCUCUCCGCAAGAACCAGUUGGUCUGGAAACGAGUUCGUGAGAAUCGGAGAACAGUUAUGCACGACCGAUCUGAGGAAAAAUCGUGAAACGUCAACACCACUCGCUAUGCGUUCAAGAGGCACCAUUAUAGUAUCGCGUUUCAGGAAAAGAUUUUUCUGGAUUAAAAAUAGAUGCAAUAAAAAUAAAUGGAAAACG